ncrna:Eptesicus fuscus (big brown bat) microRNA efu-mir-339 precursor
AGCCGCGCUCCCUGUCCUCCAGGAGCUCACCUGCGUCCGGCCGUGAGCGCCUCGGGGCCAGAGCCCGCGUCUGC